rnacentral:rRNA from 1 species
CCUACGGGGGGCAGCAGUAAGGAAUAUUGCGCAAUGGACGAAAGUCUGACGCAGCAACGCCGCGUGCAGGACGACGGCCCUUUGGGUUGUAAACUGCUGUAGCAGGGGAAUAAUGGCCACCAUGGGUGGUUUGAAGGUACCCUGAAAGUAAGCGCCGGCUAACUACGUGCCAGCAGCCGCGGUAAUACGUAGGGCGCAAGCGUUGUCCGGAUUCACUGGGUGUAAAGGGUGCGCAGGCGGAUGGGUAAGUCAGGGGUGAAAUCUCACAGCUCAACUGUGAAACUGCCUUUGAUACUGCCGAUCUUGAGUACGGGAGAGGUUGAUGGAAUUCCAGGUGUAGCGGUGAAAUGCGUAGAUAUCUGGAAGAACACCGGUGGCGAAGGCGGUCAACUGGCCCGGAACUGACGCUCAGGCACGAAAGCGUGGGGAGCAAACAGGAU